rnacentral:rRNA from 1 species
CCUACGGGAGGCAGCAGUAGGGAAUUUUCGGCAAUGGGGGGAACCCUGACCGAGCAACGCCGCGUGAACGAAGAAGUUAUUCGUAAUGUAAAGCUCUUUCAACAGGGAAGAAAGAGAAAUUUGACGGUACCUGAAGAAUAAGCUCGGGCAAAUUCCGUGCUAGCAGCGGCGGUAAAACGUGGGGAGCGAGGGUUAUCCGAAUUUAUUGGGCGUAAAGUGGGGGUAGAUGGGAUAGUAAGUCUUAUGGAAAAAUGCUGGGCUCAACCCAGUAGGGCAAAAGAUACUGCAGAGAUAGAGUAUGAGAGGGGCAAGUGGAACUACAAGUGUAGCGGUAAAAUGCGUAAAUAUAUGUAAGAACACCAGUGGCGAAGGCGGCUUGCUGGAUCGUUACUGACGUUGAGGCACGAAAGCGUGGGGAGCAAACAGGAUUAGAUACCCUAGUAGUC